GACGAACGCUGGCGGCGUGCCUAAUACAUGCAAGUAGGACGCAGUUGCGAACGGGUGAGUAACGCGUAGGUAACUACCUAUUAGAGGGGGAUAACUAUUGGAAAAGAUAGCUAAUAACGCAUACUAGUAGAUGGACCUGCGUUGUAUUAGCUAGUAGGUAGGGGAAAGGCCUACCUAGGCAGCGAUACAUAGCCGACCUGAGAGGGGGAUCGGGCCACCUGGGACGGGGAAACGGCCCAGACUCCUACGGGGAGCAGCCGUAGGGAAUCUUCGGCAAAGGGGCGAACCCCUACCGGGCAAAGCCGCGGGAGUGAAGAAAGUUUUCGGAUCGUAAAGCUCUGUUGGUAAGGAAGCGGUACUUAACCAGAAAGGGACGGCUAACUACGUGCCAGCCGCCGCGGUAAUUC
rnacentral:rRNA from 1 species